AACCCUUGUCCUUAGUUACCAGCACGUUAUGGUGGGCACUCUAAGGAGACUGCCGGUGCAAACCGGAGGAAGGUGGGGAUGACGUCAAGUCAUCAUGGCCCUUACGGCCUGGGCUACACACGUGCUACAAUGGUCGGUACAAAGGGUUGCCAAGCCGCGAGGUGGAGCUAAUCCCAUAAAACCGAUCGUAGUCCGGAUCGCAGUCUGCAACUCGACUGCGUGAAGUCGGAAUCGCUAGUAAUCGUGAAUCAGAAUGUCACGGUGAAUACGUUCCCGGGCCUU
rnacentral:rRNA from 1 species